rnacentral:lncRNA from 1 species
UGUAUGGCAACUAACCAGUCAUUCUCCCUCUUCCUCUCAGGCGGGCAGGGCUGGGCAGCGGCCUGAGUCUCAGCGGACUUGUCCACCCGGAGUUGAGUCGGAGUGGCGAGCUGGCAGUACGGGCUCUGGAGCAGUUUGCCACUGUGGUGGAGGCCAAGCUGAUAAAACACAAGAAGGGGAUUGUCAGUAAGUGAGCUCUACACCAUUCCGCCCCUCCCUUUCCUCUCCUUGAGACUAAUGCCCCCACCCCCACCCCCACCCCACCUACCGGACAGAUGAACAGUUUCUGCUGCA